rnacentral:rRNA from 1 species
CCUACGGGAGGCAGCAGUGGGGAAUUUUGGACAAUGGGGGCAACCCUGAUCCAGCCAUUCCGCGUGAGUGAAGAAGGCCUUCGGGUUGUAAAGCUCUUUCGCAAGGGAAGAAAACUUAUGAUCGAAUAAAUCAUGAGGUUGACGGUACCUUGAUAAGAAGCACCGGCUAACUACGUGCCAGCAGCCGCGGUAAUACGUAGGGUGCGAGCGUUAAUCGGAAUUACUGGGCGUAAAGCGUGCGCAGGCGGUUUUGUAAGUCGGAUGUGAAAUCCCCGGGCUCAACCUGGGAACUGCGUUCGAAACUGCAAGGCUAGAGUGUGUCAGAGGGGGGUAGAAUUCCACGUGUAGCAGUGAAAUGCGUAGAGAUGUGGAGGAAUACCAAUGGCGAAGGCAGCCCCCUGGGAUAACACUGACGCUCAUGCACGAAAGCGUGGGGAGCAAACAGGAUUAGAUACCCUGGUAGUCCACGCCCUAAACGAUGUCAACUAGUUGUUGGUAGAGUAAAAUCUAUGAGUAACGUAGCUAACGCGUGAAGUUGACCGCCUGGGGAGUACGGUCGCAAGAUUAAAACUUAAAGGAAUUGACGG